AUCGCUUCUCGGCCUUUUGGCUAAGAUCAAGUGUAAAAUCUCAGAUAUUUCCUCCUUUUUUAAUUCCAUUAGUCUGAUAGUUGGGGCAUGUUUGAAGGCUGUUUUUGCUUCUUUAAAACAGGACUUCAUGAAGCUC
rnacentral:snRNA from 1 species